rnacentral:rRNA from 1 species
AAAUGAAUAGACGGGGACCCGCACAAGCGGUGGAACAUGAGGUUUAAUUCGAUACUAAGCGAAGAACCUUACCAGGACUUGACAUCUCUGGAACCCCCUAGAAAUAGGGGGGUGCCUUCGGGAGCCAGAUGACAGGUGUUGCACGGUCGUCGUCAGCUCGUGCUAUGAAGUGUCCCGUUAAGUCGGUUAACGAGCGCAACCCCUGCUGUUUGUUGAAUUUUUCAAACAGGACUGCCGGCGUUAAGUCGGAGGAAGGUGGGGAUGACGUCAGAUCAGCGUGGCUCUUACGUCCUGGGCGACACUCGUGUUACAAUGGGUAGUCACAAAGGGUUGCAAUACCGUAAGGUGGAGCUAAUCCCAUAAAACUACCCCCAGUUCGGAUUGAGGGCUGCAACUCGCCCUCAUGAAGCCGGAAUCGCUAGUAAUCGUAGGUCAGCCAUACUACGGUGAAUACGUUCUCGGGUCUUGUACACACCGCCCGU